AGUUGGCGGCCAUAUCCUGGUGAAAAAUACGGCUUCCGUCCGAUCACAAGUCAAGGCACCAGAGCCCAGUUAGUAUUGUUGUGGGGAACCAUACGAGAAUCCUUGGUGUUGCAAUU
rnacentral:rRNA from 1 species